rnacentral:rRNA from 1 species
GUGGGGAAUAUUGGACAAUGGGGGGAACCCUGAUCCAGCCAUGCCGCGUGUGUGAAGAAGGCCUUUUGGUUGUAAAGCACUUUAAGCGAGGAGGAGGCUACCGAGAUUAAUACUCUUGGAUAGUGGACGUUACUCGCAGAAUAAGCACCGGCUAACUCUGUGCCAGCAGCCGCGGUAAUACAGAGGGUGCAAGCGUUAAUCGGAUUUACUGGGCGUAAAGCGCGCGUAGGUGGCCAAUUAAGUCAAAUGUGAAAUACCCGAGCUUAACUUAGGAAUUGCAUUCGAUACUGGUUGGCUAGAGUAUGGGAGAGGAUGGUAGAAUUCCAGGUGUAGCGGUGAAAUGCGUAGAGAUCUGGAGGAAUACCGAUGGCGAAGGCAGCCAUCUGGCCUAAUACUGACACUGAGGUGCGAAAGCAUGGGGAGCAAACAGGAUUAGAUACCCCAGUAGUCC